rnacentral:rRNA from 1 species
UACAGAGGGGGCAAGCGUUGUUCGGAAUUACUGGGCGUAAAGGGCGCGUAGGCGGCCCGCUAAGUCGAACGUGAAAUCCCCAGGCUCAACCUGGGAACUGCGUCCGAUACUGGCAGGCUUGAAUCCGGGAGAGGGAUGCGGAAUUCCAGGUGUAGCGGUGAAAUGCGCAGAUAUCAGGAGGAACACCGGUGGCGAAGGCGGGUCUCUGGGCCGAUACUGACGCUGAGGAGCGAAAGCGUGGGGAGCGAACAGG